UGGAAUUUAAUAAAUUAAAAAAAAAUUAAUACGUCAAAAUAUUUUAUUACGUGUCGAACGUUCUUCUUCUUUCCCUCUUUUUUUGCUGGUUCUGUUUAAAAGUUGCAGGGAGGAGAUGGUGCUACUCAGGGAGGCGAUGACGCGACUCAGGGAGGCGUCCUUUCUUUCGCUGGGCCUGGUAGAGUUCCUCCUUUCUCGUGGUGCAGUGAGACGUUUUGGGUGAAUGAUUUUGAUUUCCUAUUCUACAACUUUUGAUUCAAGCCGUCCUGGUUCGGAGUGGUUGUGGGUGGUUGCUGCAAACGGAGCAGCCAUAGAGGUUGCGGUGAUGGAUGACUGUGGAGUUCUCAAGCUUGGGAUGUACUGGCGGAUUUCUUGGAACAUAGACGAGUAAAACCGAACGAUGUUGAUCCGAUCCUUGCUGGCGUAGCGCUCGGGUGCCGUCGCGACAACGGAGGCGGAGCGAACCUCCGAGGAGAAGAAGCAGAAGUCGUCGAGGGUGCAGGACUCUCCAGCGAUGGUGAUGACGUAAGCAAACCUUACGGUGACGAUGAGAAGGCCGAUGAUGAGUAACUGUGUCAAAACAUUUCUGAGUAAGGUCGGCUUCCCUGUGACAGGCUCCAUGGAAACAGAUUGUACACUUUUCUUCAAGAAAAUAAUAAUUACGAGAAAAAAAAUAAAUUAAAUGAAAAUAUGCUUUCAAUAUUUCUUCAGAGUGAAGGA
rnacentral:sRNA from 1 species